rnacentral:misc_RNA from 1 species
ACAAGACUAGAGUCUUUACUGCUGUCUCACCGAUGUUGGUAGUAGGAGAUGAAGAGAGGAGCAUAGACCGUUAAUCUGUGCCCUCGCGUUUUUGUUGAUUUUCGCGCAUUUAAUUUUCCGUCUCUAUUCAGCGCACACUCUAUCUCUCGUGUGCGUUGAGCGUAUUUUGUUUCGUCGCAUGCGCAUGCUGUGCGUACACGAGGAGCGCACUUUUUUAAUAUAUACAGUUUGAACGUUGUAUCUAUUUGAUAAGUUUCAACAUGAAGAAGUACGAAAUCUUGAGACAGAUCGGAGAGGGAUCUUUCGGGCAGGUGUAUAAAGCUAAGAAGCGGUCGGACGGCGAGGUUGUGGCCUUCAAAAUAAUACGCAAGCGCGGCAGGUCAUUUAAAGAGCUGAAGAGCUUGCGGCAGGAGUGCGAGAUUCAACGUCAUUUGCACCAUCCAAAUAUCGUGCAAAUGAUAGACUCGUUUGAGACGGACAAUGAGAUCGUGGUUAUAACAGAGUAUGCGGAUAAGGAACUUUAUGAGAUCCUGGAUAAGGAGGGCAGACUGUCCGAGGAAAGAGCGCAAGUGAUAGCUUGCGAUCUCGUGUCCGCUCUUUAUUACUUGCACUCCAACCGAGUGCUGCACAGAGACCUCAAGCCACAAAAUGUUCUUCUGGAGGCGAAUGGCGUGGCCAAGCUGUGUGAUUUUGGAUUUGCUCGUAGUAUGAGCACUGGUACUCACGUACUUACAUCGAUCAAAGGUACACCAUUGUACAUGGCACCAGAACUCAUAGAGGAAUGUCCUUAUGAUCACAAUGCCGACUUGUGGUCCUUAGGUUGUAUAAUUUACGAAUUGGUGGUAGGCUCUCCUCCGUUCCAAACGACUUCGAUCCUGCACUUGGUUAAAUUGAUCAGAUUCGAAGCGAUAAAGUGGCCAGAUUUCAUCUCGUCAAAUUGCAAGAGCUUCUUGCAGGGAUUACUUCAGAAAGAUCCGUCCCAGCGAUUAACUUGGCCGGCUCUCCUCGAACAUCCGUUCGUCAAGGAUCGGAUUAUAAUAGUCGGUGGUACUGUGCCCACUCCGUUCACAACUCCGUUAUCCGCGAGUCAAGCGAGAGCAAAACAGCAGCAGUUACAGAGCCUGGCAAUACGCUCUGCGAAUCAGUCCAAAUUUGUGGAGAGAGCGGUUCAAAAGAUGCAGGAGCAAGAGGGCAAGUACCGUCAGCGAACGUGCCUGUCGCAACCAGGUUACCCAAUUUCUCCCGCUUAUUGUCAGUAUGGGAUAAACCACUGUCAGGCAUUACGUCGUAGUGAACCAAGCGGCACUGAUUCCAGCGCCAGCGUAGAUGUUCUGUUGGGAAAUCUCAGCCUCAGGGCAUCUCUGAGAAGCGAUCUCUUAGCUGCCGAUCACGCGAUAUGUCAGAGCGACUGCCCGCACAACGCGAACGUGCAGCAGAAUUUGCAGCCGACCGAGGGUUGUUACCCUAAAUCUAUUCAACAGCAAACGGCUGAUAAUUACUCGGGGCCACAAGUAGACCCGGAGACGCAUCACGCUAAUGCCCAGGGCGACGGGGUUAACGUGGGUCAUCAACAUGCAGAAAAAUGCUCCUCACACGUGGACCAGACGCACGGGGAUGGUGAUUGCAAGCAGAGCAGCUUGAGCAUCGACUAUGAGCAAGAGUUUGGCGAGAGAAACUCGAAGAAGCACGCAAGACUGCCAGACUGGGAUCCGAAAGCGGUGGAGAGGCCGAUCGAGAACGAAGAGUGGGUCGCGUUUCUGCAGAGCUCGAUGGAAGAGAUAAUGGAAGGCGAGGUUGACUCGAUGCUGCAACAAAACUGCGUCUCCGUCUUCGUUUCUCCUCUGAGAAAUUCGGCAGCCAGUUCUCGAGUCGUCGAGUACGUAGCUUGUCUAUUGUCGUUGCCGUUCACCGUGCCGGUCAGUAAGGAGAACCUCGGCAAGAUCAAGCAGGUUUACCUGGACGUGAGAGUAGUACCGAAUCUCGUUUACGCGAUAAAACUGCUGAUGUCGGAACGUUCCGAAAGUGAGUCAAACACGGAAACGAGACCGGCAUCCUCCCUGUCCGCGGACGAGCUGCAGGCUCUCGAAUAUUCGAUGCUGGUCCUUUGUAGAUUGGUUCACGAGCAAGACCAAUUUCUCAUGCAGUUUUGCGACGCCGUUUACAUCGUGAACGGAAUGCCACUUCUGCAGCAACUGCUAACCUUGGAAAAGAGGAAGGCGAGAGUCGUUGCGGAUCUCGUUGCGAUUUUGAAUAACAUACUACGGUCUCAGCCAGAGUACGCUGAGCUGGUGGAGGCAGUCGUGCUGCGUACGAAAGAGCCAGGAGCUUCAGUGGAACAAUUCAAGAAGCUCCUUAAUCAUCAACGAACCAACUUGCGAGCAAGAACGUGCACAAUGGUCAGGCUGUUGGGUAGAUUUUGCUGCAGAGCGUUGCAGCAAGUGUGGGAUAGCUCAUUGAGGAAUCACAUUGAGGAUUUAAUGGAGGACGAGGAUGAGUUUGUGCGAAACAAGAUUACGACUUAAACAUAACGCAGUGAUAAAAUAAUGAAGAUUUAAAGAGUAAACGUAAUAAAAUUUUGCUUAUCAGCAAAGAGAUAAUUUCUCUUAGUAGAAAAAGGUAUCGCUAUAUCCAGGAAAGAAAGAGUAAAGGUCGAAAAUGGGCCGCCAAGGAUGCCGUAACUGAAUUGAAACAACUGACGUAUUACAAUUAGUAGAAAAAUCCUGCCAAUUGAUGUUAUUUUAUUGUAGGACGAAACGAGGAGAAUAAUUUUAGGGAUCAAACUCGACUCUUGUCAUCCAUUGACGUGCCUUAUUGAUCGCCUUGAGGUCAUGAGUUUAAAUGUUUUAUUUUUAGACAGACUGAUAAUUUUACUGUGACACGAAUUUUGAAAUAUUGUGAUAUUUUUAUAAGUCGCGCCAAGUGUAAUAAACAAAUUUGUAUCUAUAUAGGCAUAAACACGAUAAUCGCUUACAGAA